UUUGCGUGGUAGAGUUUUUGUCUUGGGGGAAUUUGUGUAUUGGUCUCUUUUUAUACUGAUGAUUUGUUUUUCUAUUUUAAAAAGUACAUACUUCUUCUUUCUAUAUUAGGUAUAUUAGUGCAGAUGCGCUUUUUGACGUAUGACGCGUAGGUUUGCUUAUUACUUUAGCUUAUUAUCUAUCAGUGUAUCUGCAGCGACAUGACUAUCAUAAUAAUCUACGUCGAUCGUUUUAAACUUUAACUUCAGGCAUAUAAUCCUGAUAUUAGAUAUUCACGUACCUAUUUUAUUUUCAACUUUACGCAUUAUUGUACGGCGUAACCAACAAAACUACAGACAUAAUUUUAAUUUGGAAACUCAUUCCAAAAGACAAGCCCUAAUCAAAUCUGAGAUAUAAUCAGCCGUUCGCAUAAUUUCGGUAUAAAUUAUUGCUUAAAGUUGUGGUGAGUCGAUACUAUGUUACAUAAGCAGUGGUGGAUGGCCAGUGUUAGUCUUGGCUCGGCUCAGUCGAGUACCGUGCCUCGGAGCGAGCGACCGCGCCCGCUUGAGAGGCUCCGCGACUGCGUAACGCUCGUGUUAGGUAUCACAAGAGCUCAAUGAAUCGAAGGAUCAAGAUUAAAUAAUCUUGGUCUGAUCUGGAGACUUUCAUAAACAUUCCCGGGAAGUGAAGGUUUCUGUGUGAUAUUCUAGUGAUGGACAUAAACUGUGAACAGUGAAAUGGAGAGAAAAGGAGACGACAAACACCGGUCAUCUUCACACGAGCACGGUUCAUCGCCGUCCUGGGAGCAGUUCGUCCGCGAGUCGCUCGUGCAGGCCGCGUGGCCCGUGGCUCUCGCGCCGCCGCCCCGCCGCGCCCUCACCGUCGACCAACAGUGAGUAGCUAUCCUUAUGCCUCGGCCAUGGAAAUAAUGCUUCGAGUGAAUUCGCUCACGAUGACGUCAAUUAAAUCACUUAUAAGGGGGCCAACGCAAAAUUUUACUACAAUUUUUGUAUUAUAAUAAAUUCAUACAGAAACUAGAAUAUAUUUGCAAGGGCAGACCCAGCCAAAACCUUAAAACGUGUAAGUUGGUUUUAUGGAAAAUAAAAUAGCGAAAACAAGUCAAAUUUUCAUUUGUUUUCAGUUGUAUAUACCCUUAUAUCGACAGGAUCAUGCGAAUCAUUCGGAGCGUAUUUUUCGUGGAUUUUGAAUUAAACGGAUAUUUAAUUUAUUCUAUUUUAUUGCACUUUUAUAUAUGAUGUGUAUGUACAACACUUUUAUAUAUGAUGUGUGUGCUUAGGUACCUAAGCGUUUUACACUUUUUACAGAUAUUGAAAUCAAAUCAAAAUAUAACAAGUGUUACCUCUCUUUAACCCCGUAUUUCAAACUUGAAACAACAUAAUCAACUUGUCUACUUAUGUACUUUUUCCUCUAUUUGAGUAACACAAACCUGGCGCCCAAAAUCCGACAAAAAAAAUCCAAAAACUUGACUUUACAUAAUUACUUGUAUUUAUAUUUGGUACUAUUUUUCGUUGCUAAAAAUUGUUACAGAAAGUAAAUUUUGUAUGUAAUGUAUGUCUGUAUGUAAGUUAUGUAUGAAAAAAUAUAAGUACUUACUGUAACUUGUAAGGCUCGGAAACCGGUUACAUUUCCAAACCGUUAUUAUGUCAUUUGGUAUAAAACCUUUUAAUUUUGGUUUCGUCCGUAAAACCGUUAUUAUAAACCAGUUUUUAGGAGAACAUUUAUAUAAAGUUCUUGUUAGAUUAACCGAUUCAGAACAAUAAAAACCGGUUUUUCCUAUGCGGGUGUCGUUGUUUACGUGGCACAUAACUAGGCCGGACGGCCGUCUCGUCGUUUAUCGAAUAAACCGGUUUAUUUAGGUUACAAUAAAGUUCUUGAAACGUUCGCUUUCCUAUGAAAGUUUGGAGUGAAACCAAAACAAUCCGGUAUUUACCGCUAUUUUUAAAACCGGU